GCGCAGAUAACUUGGUUUACACCGUUGGUUGGAAUACUCUGCAUGAUUCUUUUUCAAUGCAGUUUAUUUCUGUUUUUCACAACAGUCCAUCUGGGAAUAUGAAAAACGAAGGGGAAUAAGAUCUUUUCGAUGGAAUCUUCAAUGUACUGUUGCCUACAAGUAUUCUGUGUUAUAAGUAUAAAUAAACUAAUGAAUGAAUAAAUAAAUAAAUAAAUAAAUAAAUAAAUUACAGUUGAUUAGAACUUUGGUGGCUUGUAUAGCACUAUAUAGCACUAAAAAAUAGUUAAAGAGUGUAUUGAUCGCUUUGUCCCGUUGUCGAUUAAAAAGAAAAAUCGCAAUAAUCCCUGGAUCUCCUGCAAGACAUUGCAGCUCCAAAGGAAACUGAAACGUGUAAAGAAAAAAUUAAAAAUUGAGAACGUGCAGUCGGUAAAACAAAAGAUCGACGACAUUUCCUCUCAGCUUAAAAGUCAAGUGCAUGCCGAUAAACAACGCUACUAUGUUGAAUCGCUACCAAGUUUCAUAACCACGGCUCCAGAGAAAUUUUGGCAUUCUAUUUCCCCGACCUCCAAGGAAUGUGUUGUAUUUCAUGUUGAUGGUAAGGCAGUUCACGAAAGCAAAGAAAUAGCAAAUGCGUUUAACAAACACUUUAAGUUUGUCUAUACAAAUGAUAAUGAUGUAAUGCCACCUUUCGAAAUGUCUGUGCUGCCUAUACCCGAUGUUCCAGUAAGCGAACCAGGUAUACUAAACAUGCUUUUACAAGUGAACACUAAAAGAUCUUCUGACCCGGACAACGUUCCAAACACAUUUUUUAAAACGGUACGCAGAAUGGAUAUCAAAGUACUUGCACCUUCUGUUCACAAGGUCACUGUGCAAGGAACAAGUACCAAGCAACUGGAGGACAGCCAGAGUGAAGCCACUACAUAAAACAGGAAAAAAGCACUGCAUUCAAAAUUACCAUCCAAUUUCUUUAACAUCUACGGUGUCUAUGUAGCACUGAAUCUUCAGCAGCACACCUAUGUGCAGGUAACUCUUUCCUUGGAAGGUGUCUUCACUGCUAGACAACCACGAAUGUCCAGUCUUCAAAGGGCAUUCAAUAGCCUGAAGCAUUUCUCAUAAAUACAAAUAUAAAUUUAUGCCUUCGAAAUUU